CCGCCCUGUUAGAUCUGCUCAGGCGGGAAGCUCACGAAGACUCUGCUGUCGGAUCUCGGAAGCUAAGCAGGGUCGGGCCUGGUUAGUACUGGGAUGGGAGACCAGCUGGGAAUACCCAGCUAUGGGGUGGU
rnacentral:rRNA from 1 species